CAAGGGUUGUCCUGCAACUGAUCUCUGGAAGUCCUUUCCUGGAUUUAUUUUCAUCUGAAGAGAGCUGCCUUGCCCAAGUCCACACCCUUCUCCAGAGACAGACCACCAAAGAGGAAGGAGACAAAAUGUCUGGUAAGGAAGUGCUCAUCUAGCCAAUACCUGCCCCUUGGAGAUGGGGGACUUGGGAAAGACAAAACAGAAAGCAAAUGGAGGGAACUGUAACUGCCGUAUCUUGAGGAAGGAAACUACUCACUCAUCUUGGCUAUUAAACUUCAAUUGAUACACAUUUUCCGAGGAAUUUUACGGUGGCAAAGAACUGGAAAUCAUUCCAUCUCUCUCAAAUAAAACCUGUGGACAGAUUGAAAGGAUUGAAAAGGGAGAUGUUAUUAUAAAGAUAUACAUCUCAUGUGAUUCAAUGAGUAUUUAAAAGUACUCAGACAACCUAAGUGUCUGUAGACGGAUAGAUAAAGAAAAUGUGGUAUAUACAGUUGACCUUUGAACAAUGUGAGGGUUAGGGGCACCAACCCCACCCCACAAUGAAAAAUCUGCAUAUCUUUUGACUCCUCAAAAACUUAACUAAUAGCCUAGCCUACUAGAGACCAGAACUCUUACCAAUAACAUAGCCAAUUAACACAUUUUUUAUGUUAUAUGUAUUAUAUACUGUGUUCUUACAAUAAAUAAGUUAGAGAAAAAAAGUUACGAAAACCAUAAAAAGGAGAAAAUACAUUUACAGUACUGUACUACAAGAUACCUGACUGUACAGACUCACACAGUUCAAACUCAUAUUGUUCAAGAGUCAGCUAUAUAUAUACAAAGGAGUAUUAUUCAGCCUUAAAAAAUAAGGAAAUCUUGCCAUUUGCAACAAUAUGGAUGGACUUUGAGGGCAUUAUGCUAAGUGAAAUAAACCAGACAGAGAAGGAUACCAUAUGGUGCCACUUAUAUGUGGAGUCUUUAAAAAAAAAAAAAGAAAGAAAAUCAAACUCACAGAAACAGAAUAGGAAAAUGAUUGUCAGGGGCUGGGUAAAAUAAGAAGAGGCUGGUAAAAGGAUACAAACUUUCAGUUAUAAGGUUUGAGGAUCUUAUAACAUGGUGACUAUAACUGAUUAUACUGUACUGUAUAAUUAAAAUUUUCCAAGGGAGUAGAACUUAAAUAUUCUCACCAAUCAAUCAAUCUGUAGGUGAUAGAUAUGUUCAUUAACUCGAUGAGGGCAAUCUUGUCACAGCAUAUACAUAUAUCAAAUCAUCACAUUGUACACUUUAAAUAUCUUACAAUUUUGUCAAUCAUACAUCAAUUAUUUAAAGAAAUAAACAACAACAACAAAAAAUAAAAGUUCUCGGGGUGGUCAGAAACCAGGUGUGUCCUGGGACAUCUACAUUAAUAGUUAAUGGAUCUUAUUUCUAAGUACUCUACUUUGUGUGCAACUCAGUUUAU